UCUUAUGUUGACUGGUCUUACCAAUAGAAGACUAGAAGAAUUAGUUCAAGUUAGUAAAAGAACCUCAACUCAAUAAAGAAACAAAUACUAACAGCUACCAGCAAAAUCACUGAAACUUGAAAACUACUAAAUAGCUAUAUUAGAAUCAAUAGAAGUAUUAACUGCAUCACCUUACUUCAAAUAUACUUCAGUUUGGUUUUAGUUAAAGAAGGUUGCGCUUGAAAGAUUUCAAGUCUCUUGACAGAGACUUUCUUAGAUGUCUGGGAACGGACAGAGUGCUUAAUUAUAUCACUCAUUUAUCUCCUGUUGUCCUGUUUUGCAUCCAGGGCAGGCCAAGUAACUUCAUGUCUUAGAGAUGAAACCAAAACUUAUUUACAUUAAACAGGAGAAUGAAAGGCUGAGUCAAAGCUCCACAUGGAGAGAAUGUAGUUCAAGUAUAUUACCUAGGUGCUGUUUCUGUCAAGAUACUAUUUUCCAAGUUACCCUUUGCUCAAAAGAAAGGCAUUGGCGACAAGGGAAAGUUGGAAACAAAGUCCUCUGAAGCCAGUAGUAUGUGAGAGGCAGUAAAAUAGAAAGUUGCAAAGAAUGCAGUAUAACAAAUAAAUGACUGAACAAAACAUCUGUUAAGCCUCAAGUGUGUUAAAUUUAUCAUUUUGUCAUAGGAAGGAUUUAAUUGUGCAACAGAUGUUUUAAAGAAGGUGAAAAGGGUCAAUAGUAUUUAAUGUGGAAAAAUCAUAAAGAAGGACAAAGUAAUGUAAAAAUUUGCAAGCUCUGUCUGUACUUUGCUUCUAAUACAAUUUGUCCAGAAAGCUUAAAAAAACCUAACCCAACACCCCCACAAUCUGUAGAAUUAAUACUGAUGUGCACAUAAAUCAGUAGGACGAGGUCAAGUCUGCCUUUCCUUACCACAUGAACGAACAUGAAAUAGGAAGCAAGGAGUAAAUCUCCCUAUAGUUCAUUUUAUAAAAUGGCAUUGACACAUGACCAUUCAAUGCCAUUUUAUGAAGGUGACUGCAGAAGGCGAAGGGGAAGAAUAACAAAAGAGAAUAGGGGAAGAGAUUUCAGAGUAUAACAGCGUAUUUUAGGUCCAUUAUACGUGCUAGAUGUAGUGCCCUGAAGCAGCAGCUCCACAUAGUUAUGUUUUGCUAGAACAGCAAAUAAAUAAUCGAAUCUGUAAAUAAAACCAGAAGCAAAUAGAACUUCACAUUCUAAAUGCUAUUCUCAGAUCAAUUUUUACUUUAAAAUAUGCAGAGUUCUCCCUAAGGCUGUGAACAGAGAUGGUCCUGCAAUACAACAAGCAAAUAACUUAAAACAGAUUAAACAUGGGUUAAAGGAAAUAAAAACCUGACACAAUGUAUUCAUGUACUAGUCCAGUAAAAUAAAAUCCCAAAGUGAUAUUGAUUAUGAGCCAUGAGAAAUGAAACUGAACAUCAUGACAUUAUUGGACAUGUAAAAAAGCAUAAUUUCUCAUUUAAAGUUAUCUCACACUAAUUGAGGUAAAUAUCUGAAACUGAUUUAAUGCUCAGAGUUAAGAAGUUUCAAUUUCUCCAGAGCUCAGUUUUAUCACAACUUUUUCCACAAGGUCCCUUACUUCUAAAUAUUUAAAAUCUUUUUAGAUAUUUCACAGUCUCAUUGACAUAAAAGAGAUAACCAGGUCUUCCAAAGUUUCUAAGACCUUGGAAGAUGCCCAAGUCUAUGUAUCCUGCCUUGGUGUCCUGACAAAACAAGUAAGUAACAAAUAGGACUGUACAAGAUAUUGUUGCUAAUUUUGAGAGUUAGGCACCUAUGGUGUUAGGUGGUGAUGACCUCCUAGUGCUCUAUUCCCUCCUUCACAUAGGGCUUCACUGCCUGCGUGCCUCAUAUGGCUCCCUAGUGAAAAAAACAUAUUCUAGCCCAGUGUUCUUACUGCCUAUGUUUGACCACAAUCAAGACUUCAUCUGCAUGAAGCUGAAAAUCAAGGGUGGGUAAGAAGUACUAUGGCUUCUGUUUUUAUCCAGCCAAAUAAUGCCUUUCCAGUCACAGCCGACAUACUUUGAGCCCACAGCUGGUUUAAUAAGCAGACACUACUUUCUAGGUACAGCAUACUUGCACUGGAAGAAAAAGACCUUUUACCAUUUUACAGCAAGUGCUGUACAUUAAGUUCUAUCCUUCACAAAAUAUUUGCUUUAUUUUGAUAUGUAUAUAUUUGCAUGGACUUAUAUAGCAUAUGCAUACAGACACCUGUCUGUAUCUCACUGACAGCCCGUUCGCUCUGCACCAGAGCCAAACAGCAGCAAGUGAAAAAUCAGAAAAUAAAGGUGGCUAGUAGCAGGCUGCUACUAUUGCUAUUUUCUCUUGGUUCCUCUCCCUUCCAGCAAGUUUCUUAUACCCAGGUAGAAGCAUACAGCCAACUGGGCAAAUUGCACUGCUGGUGACAGCUCAGCCGUGGCCUCCAUCUCCUCAAGGACCUCUGUCUUCUAGUCACAGGCUUAUCAUGUUGUGGAACCAGCUUGAAAAAUGUAUUUAGAACCAGCUAUAAGAUGAUGGCUAGGAUUUUACCCCAAAUGAAUUUCUAUCUCUAAAGGGUAAACCAAAAGGUAAACCACCAAUUCUCAGGAGCUUAGCUGUAUGCUAUUUGGAAUACAAUCUGCUAGAACACAUACUUGGCAAUACUCUCUUUAACACUUCUCCUGUUGUUAAGGUUACACAUUGCUCUCCGUGUGAGGAACAGAAUCAAAGAAUCCUGCUAUUCUAAAAUCCCUUCCCCAUUUCAUAAUCAGACAAACAGUAAAGGGACACAUCACAGUUCACUUCCACUGCAGUAGCCCAGCACCUCUUAUUUAUGAUAGCAUUUUCUUUUGUAGUUCAGGAUCAAAAUUCUGUAGUAAUUAUUUCCUUGUCUUUGUUAAUGAUCAUGUGGAAGAAAAUAGUGUAAGACAGUAAAACGAAGUACUUGCCCAAUACAUGAAACAAUUAAAAUUCUGAUUGUUCCUCAAAGCUUUGGAAUAUUUAAAUAUUAAAAGAUACAAAGAGCUCCUCAGAAAGUCUAGGACUGUUUAUAAAAAAAAAAAAAAAAGCCAUAUUGAGUUAAACCCAAGGAUCAACUUGCUUUUUAAAUAUACUUUACUUAGCCUAAAAUUAAUGCCAAAUUCUUUCAGUUUGACACAAGUGAUUUUAAAAGGUACUACAAAAUUCACACUGUGCCCUACGUGCUCUUAAGCGGGCAGUGAACUGUUCAUCAAUUAGCUGUUCCCACAUCAGACUUUACAAGAGUGAAUAUUUCAGACUAUCAAGACCAUUACAAUUUCCAGUUACUCUGAGUUUGUUCUUGGUGUGAUGCUCCUAUUUCACAAUUUAAAACAGAACAAAAACAUUACCUUACAUUAUAUUUUAAAGAGGAAUGUCACUUCAUUACGGUUUUAGCCUAAUUCCCCUCUUUCCCAAGCUGUUUUGAUCUCUUAGUCAAAAAGAUUCAGAUUAGAUUUUUUUAAAUCUACCAUAUCAUUGAACAGAUGUUAAUUAACAUGAAAUAUUCAUCUUGUUUCAGAUGAUGGGUAAGUAGAGUAACUAAAUUUUAAUGUUAAAAAGAGGAAAGGAAAAGCAUAUGCCACAUAAAUAAUGCAUGAAAAAUGGCAAACUUGUUUUUCCACCUGUUACUUUGUUACUAAUACAUAAAAAGACUGCUGCAGGCAUUUCUUUCUUUUUACCCAAACAUAUAAAAACACAAUAUAUUAAGGUAUGUGUGUCUGCGACUGAUGUUUCAUAGGGCCUUGUAAGGCUUAUAUACAAUAGCUUUUCGUACUUCAGCUGCAAGAGUGUUAAACAAGUGACUUGUAAUUCUUAGACAAGUGAGGUGCAAGAAAGUAAGUUACAAUACAACCACAAGCCUGAACUUGCCUGUAUGAAGCCCUGCUGGCUUUAGGCAGAUUAGUUCAUGAAGAUCAUACAACAAAGCUAAUCUCUGUUUUUCAGCAGGACUGGAACAAACAAAUCACACUGAACAGCAAAACCUGAAAUUGGCAAUGGGUUUCCAGUAUUGGAGGGGAGAAAUAAGUUAUCCUUAUGAGUGUUACAUGAAACUCAAUAAAAUGCAAGGAAUCACUGCAACUUUUACUACAGCAUUUUGGAACUGCCACCGAGUAGAAUAGUCUGAGCAGUGUCCAAAACGAAAAAAAUACCCACAGUCAAAUCAAGACAGAAGUUUUGAUAAAAGUCUGUCUCAGCAGUCCAAGACAAGUAGGUUUGGUUCCCCCUUGCAUUCAUGACAUCUACAACUGAUACUGGAUUUUUGUUGUUGAGAAGUAACUCCUGAGGAAGUGCUGACUGUGCAUACAAAAUAUACUUAGACCUUGAGUUAAAGGAUCUACAAGCUAGUUACAGAUAUGAUGUCAUUUACUUUGCAAUGUUAUAAUUUACGUUCCAUUUUCCAUUUGUUUCUCUCACUGAUAAGACAACUCAGUGUAUUUUCUCCACACAGGCUCUCAGGCCUGUUUCUUUCCCAACAGACAUACCUGGGAGUGGAGGUAGAGAACAACUACGAUUGCUAAGCAUGAUCUGAGAGAAGGGCCUCCUGCCUGCAGGACUACCUCCUGUAGUGCCCCCACCACCUUAAGCCUGUGCUGCCUCUGGUUUAUUUUGCAGUAGCUCUGUGUUUAAGUGUUUGGGAUGCAACUGUUGCAGGACAGUUAAAAAACCUUAUGUGGAUUGGGUACACAUGUAUUUGUGCUUUUCUGUUUUUUUUUUUUUCCUAAUUAAACACAUCCAAAGUUCAACUUAGAAAUUAAGCUUAUACACAACCCUCAUAUCCAAUAUGCAUAUUUAAAUGAAAUAAAUAUAAUUUUAAAGUUAGCACCUAGAAGACUUACCAUUAACAGCUUUUUCAUAGUUCUUUCCCAGAUUUAUUAAAUUCCUCAGUCCUGGAUUGAACUGUUCCAUAACAUUCUGGAACAGAAAAGAAGAUUUGUGUUAUAACCAAGGCAGUUCAACAGUGGAUGGAAGUAUUUAUCUCAGUGUCACUUAGGUCUGUUUUAGGUUUUGCAUGUACAGCGUACAUCUGAAAGGUCUGGAUGGGUGAAAAACAGAAGACUUGGGAGGAAGAGGAGAGCAAAGCAUGGAAGGGAGAAGAACUGAGCAGUUAAGAUCAACAAACAGGAAAAAGAAAAGGUAAACUUUCCAGUGGGGUAAAAAGAAUCUGGCUGUUCAUAAUACAAAGAGAUGUCAAGUAUGUGAUCACAGCUUGCACAGAUCCUUCUCUUGUGGUAGGUGAUGGUGAAAUAAAAGGGACAGAAAAACCUCUACCCACUAACUGUUUUAUGAAGUCAGACAGUAACAAGAACCUUGAUUUGAGUUCUUGUUGUGCCCCUGCUCUGAGCUGAAAAAAACCUAUAAUACUAGGAAAAGGAAAAAAAGAAAAGAAAUUCACCAGGUAACUGAUCAGGGGAGACAAGUGCUUUAUUUAUCUUUUCUAAGUUACAGAGAGCAUUAAGAGAAAUCAGUAGGGGUUUUUUGUUUGUUUGAAAAUACUGCAUUUCCUUGUGCAAAGCUGUGGUCCUUUCAGCAAGAAAAUGAUGACCUUAUUUAAAUAGAAGGAGAAAAAAAGUCCACUGCAGCUGCUUUGGCUGUUAAAUACAAUUAUUGGCUGAAACAGCCAGAAUCUGAAAUCCAGCAGCUCCAAGCAUGACUACUCUCAUACCUAGCAAAUUCUGUGAACUGAUGAAGUGGUAGAAAUUGCGACCGGAAUUUUCACAGUGCAAGAAAAUAGCUACACUAUUAAAUAGAAACAUUCCAAAUUUUUGCAAAAAGUAGAAAAUAAGUUAAGCAUGAUGCAUGAAUUCAAAUUUGAACUUGCCCAGAGUCGGGGGGUGAUGAAGAGAGAAGCAGCAGCUUUUGCUCACCCAAAAAAGAAAAUCACUCACAAAGUCUGAGUUGUCCCUACUCAUAGGAAAGGUUCAGUUCCCUUCCUUCUGGUCAGAGACAGAAACUCUCUCCCAAAUCAAUAUUCCAGAAUUACUUUUAUCUUGUUAUUAGCACUGAAAAAGAGAAAAGCUGACAUGCUGAUAUAAAUGCAGUAGUCAUUCAUUCCUUGGAAUCACGCCCUUCAAGAUGUCUCAAACACAUUUAGCAUAAAUAGUGGUAUUCCAAAGUAUGGUAUUCCUGGAUGUUGCAAUUAACUUCUGAACAAUGCUAAGUAAGUUUGAAGGAGAGCCCCCUGAGCUUCACUUACUUGGUGGUUUCUUGGUUUCUUCAGGUAGAAUCACUACCUGAAUUGAAACACAGCAUGUUUGUUUAACAAAACCCCCUUUUGCAUGUAUGUAAAUAACUACCUUGAACAAGUAUUCUAGAAUUUGCCAUAUGUGCCUGGUCAUUUAAUAGUCAAGUAACUGCAAUGUUCUAAUCCUUUCUUUUCUCUCUUCCAUACAAACUACAGUUUCAUUUAACAGCAACUACUGAGUCUCAGGAACAAUUUGGUAAAAAGUAUUUUGUAUUACAUUUAUUUUUCACAGAAGCUCUAUACUUCCACAGAGGAAAAACUUUAAUGUUUUUGCAGCUUCUAGACCUUGUUUUCCCAGAAUCUUCCUAACAAAACUAUACCUGUGACAUUACGUUGUAAAAUUUUAUUGUCAUGAGAUACCUGAAGACACCAUUCUGCUAUUCUAUUUUAUGACAGUGUUUUUAUGACACAACUCACAUGUUUCUAGAUACUGUUCACAGAGCAGAACUUUCAAGUUCCAGGAAUUCAAAACAGAUGCUUUCUGUUUACAAGAAAUACAAAGCACAGACAAGUGAAAUAGUCUCCAGUUUUUGUCUGUUAUACUACUAACAGAAUGAAAAUAUUUCCAUUUAGUAUGUACAUGGAUCCAGAAAGAACAGGAAUAUCAUCAUCACAUUUGUCUUAUUUUCAGACAAGGUCAUUCAGACAGAACUUUACUAUUAUUAUUCAAAUAGAAUGCUAUACCUGAACUUCAGUCAAUUUAAAAAGUGAAGAAAAGAAUUAGCUCCAGAUUUCACCAACUCUACUUUAGCAGUCAUAUUGAAUAAAAAUAAUAUAGCUAUUAAACCCCCCCCCCCAAAACCCUGUUAGGUUCUGAUGGUGGUGUAGUACAUAUGACAUCAAAAGCAGACACAGAACAAGAAUGCCUAGCCCCACUGCCUUUAUUUGUACAAAUUAAAUACAACUGGGAUUUAUUUCUGGUCUUACCAUUAAGCUCUUACCCACCCAAACAUGAUCACUGCAAACAAACUACCUAGUGUCCUCAGGCUCUUGAUUUGUGUUAACUCACAAACCACAUCCAGAAAUCAUUUGGGAAAGUGUGUUUCAGGUUGGGCCAACAAUGCCAAAGGCUAUUCUAACAACAGUAUGGAAUUUCAAGCUCUGGUGUCUGGGAACAUCCUUCCUUCUGCCACAACUCUUUAAUUUACUACUGUAAAUGUUGCUGCUGUGCCUCUUUUGCCCUCCCUGCAGCUGAGGCAGUGUGACUGUGAGGCUUUUGUUCAAGCGGUGUUUCUUCCUACUCCAACUUCUUGCCAUUCCUUCCCAGCAGUGUACUAAAGAUGAUGUCUCUUGGCAUACGUGGAGCCAGUGAAUCACAAGAAAAAAAGAAAAAAGGGUGAAUUAGGGUAUUGUGUUAGAAUAUAGAGUCCUGUGUUCCAAGGAUAUGGAGGGGGAGGAAGGUGUAUAUGAUGUAGAAACCAUGUGUAUCCACGGCAGGUAAGAAUCCCAACGCCAUCUUGAAUUGCCACAUGACACUGAAAAUAACUGUCUUGAAAGACAGCUCCUGUCCCUACUUACCCUCCUCCUCAUAACAAGGACUUAGAGUAAAAACCUCACUGCUUCCUACCCAAAAACUCUAACAGUAACAUGGCAAUUAUUAGUCUCAAAACACUGAUUUUGGAAUGACUGUCUUAAGGAUUCAGGGGUUAACAUUCCAGUUCUCUUGCCAUCUAAUUCAGAUUUCAAACAGAAAGCAGGGAUUGCAUCUCCAUCAUUAGUUGUUUUAAUUUAGGAGGAAGUGAACAAAACCCAACAAAAAUGCCUUCAAAAAACUUCCCUCUCUGAAGUCAGAUCGCUUACUUUCACUAGCUGAUUCUAUGCAUACUGAGCAUUCAUGUAUAGCAGCUAUAGAUCACACUGUGGAAACACAACAGAUCCACUGAAACACACCAAACUCUGAGGAAGAGCUCCAGUCAUCACAUCUGCUCAACAUAUACGUAAAACUGCUCAAAAGUUGAAGAAACAAUUUAUAGGUCACUGCCUUUGGUAGCUGAAAGGCACACAACUAACGGAUCUUUUCUCCAUCAGACCAAGCUGCCUCUGGAAGAUUUUCAGCCUUUACACUGCCACAGUGGUUGAUUGUUAGCAGAAGCGUCUGCACCAGUGAACGCCCGAGAAGCAGUAAAAACCUUUGCAAUGGAAAUUCCCCUUUGGAAUUUGACUGGUUUAAUGCAGGGUAUGGUUAGCUCAUCCUCACAGUGCUGUGCAAGGCUCAUCUACUUUCCUACUAAGAGUUUGUGAUAGACUUAGCUCCCCCUCUCCCAUCCACGCUGGGUCUCCAAGAUGGUAUAACGAAAUAAUUCUUAGAUGAUUUUCCUCUCUUCAGCAAUAUAGAGAAGCAUAAUAUGUGUUUUUUCUUUCUAGAUUCUCAAAGCAAAGAAAAACCUGGCUGUGCUUCUAGUGCUCUUCUUAUAUAGUUAACCAUUGCUGCUGCCUUUGAAGUACUGCCCAGGAACAUAUAUCUAGAGCACAUUUUCAAAAGGAAAACUGUCACUGGCAACACUCUCUUCAGGACUAGUUGUACAGCUUCUCUUACUUGCAGUCUAAAGAAAAGGUAAUGAAAAUGAGUGGGACUGAACACCAGUGCAAAACUGCAAGGCAGACACUGCACCCAGAUCUCAAAAAAAGCAGAGACAGAGGAACAAAGAACUUCUGAUCAAGACAACCACUAAUAUAAAAUUAUCAAAAGUCUCAUAAAAUAUCACAGUCUUGUUAUGUGCCAUGCUCUACAAUGACAUGGGAAUAAAACUUUUAUCUUAAUCCAACUAGACAUCACAAAGCAAAAAAAAAAAAAAACAACCUAGGAGAGACAAUGGUUCAUAAGACAUCAUUUGUCUGUGCAGUGAGGGACACACACUCUGCUUCCUAAUUGGCAAUGAAGUGUCCUAUAUUCUAGUGACACACUACCUCUCAUGAACAGAAUAAUUUACCAGAAGAGGAGGCACAUGAUCAGCUCCUACAGCUUUCUAUUAUUUAGGAUGAAUGGAAAUAAAGGGAAACACUUUCAAAACAGGCAACAGGAAACAUCUUUUUACAUAGAGAAUUUUAGAGUUGGCAAAAGUGACCUUCCAAGAAAACUCAAGAUAAACCUGCUCUGGUCAUUUGAGUCAUUAAACCCUCAUAUAAUCUGGUAUAAGAGCUGCUAUAUGCCUUUCACCGCAUGAAGCCAAUGCGAGUUAAUCAGCCUGGUAGAAAGGAGCUGACUGAAGCCUUGUAUUUCCACUUGUUGUGUGUAGGUAUUAUAUCUUCUGCAGUUCCUGAUAGUGAUAUAAACAACAUUAAUCUUCAAAACAAAUGACAUCCAUUGUAAAAGUGCCUUCCUGUAAAUGCUCAGCUUUGCUUUUUACUUAAAGACACACCUCACAGAACAAUAGCUCAGCAGGUAUGAGUACAACUAAACAAUGCAUAGACUCCCUGUAGCUUCAAGUUUACAUCCUGCAGGCACUUUUGCAAGAGUGGAUAACAAUGUAUUUGGGUGGAAAUCCGAAACUAUAGAAAUGGCACCGAAAGAGUAGAUCUUGAUGUCUAACAUUACUCAUAUUAUCAUCAAUGUAUAUAUUUAUAGCUAACUUUUGUAUAGCUACUAAUAAUUUAAAUUGUUAUCUCUCAACUUGGAAAACAGUAAAAUUAAGUUUUUGGAAAAAGUCUUCAGUGUCUAUGUCUGAAAACCCAGUUGCGAAGAUCUGAAGAGCCAUGUAGAAGGUAAAUCAUACUGCUCUCUACUGUACUUGGAGUGUUUUAUACAUUAUUGCAUUUCAUUUCCUCCUUUAGCUUUUGAAAUCCACAAUACAGUUUUCAGAAGGGUGCGAUUAAGCUCUCAAUACAUCUCAUGUUAAGCUAUCUCAGCUGUAAGUUAGCUUAAUAUUGUUUUAAAACAGGUUUAACAGAA